ACCUUUCUUUCUCCCAUAACCUGUUUUGCCAGGAUCUAAGCCCCGCUUUAUGUUUUUAUCAAAGGGACCAUUGGCACAUAGUAGCUCCUCCCAAAGUGCUGGGAGUACAGGCAUGAGUCACCAUGCCUGGCCAACUUUCUGUAGCUUCUACAUCAGCACUUACUACUGCCAUUUAUAAAGCGUUACAUAGUCUUCCAAAUACCUUUUCACACAUUGCUUUAUUCAGUUCACAUUUGUGAACAAAACAAGAAAAAGAAUCAAGUUUUCCAGUAAGUGAAGAAAUCUUCACACACACGCUAUUGAGAUGGUGUUCCGUGGAAGAUGCUUAUGGUGCGCCUGGUCCAGCUGCAACCUUGCAGGGAGCCAGUGUCCAUGCUGGCACCUGGAGCUGCCUGUCCUGCUGCAGCCAGUGUGCCUGGGUGUGCACCGUGGCUGGAUCCCAUGCUCACUUGCUCACAUACCCCUCACCACUCUGCUUGCCUUUGGCAGGCAGGGGUCCGGGCCAGUAGCGCAAACCAAGCACAGCCUACCAAGCCGAAUGGGCCCAGCAGGCCUAUGCAAAACUGGAGCAAAGGCACCACAGGCCACAGAGGCUUUUGGCUGUUGAAGUGACACCCCAGGGAUGUCAUAACAUUAGGUUAUGAGAUUCUAGGUCUUAUUUAAAAUUUCUGUUUUAUAUGACUUUUUCUGACAGUGCUCCUGCAGGAACAGUGUGGGGCAGGAGGGAACAACAUCUAAUUCCUGCCCAAUGGGUCUAGAAAUCCAGGCUUCCUUUUGAACCUUGCUGGACAUUUUCAGGGAUGGGGGUGAUUCUUUGUCAGGCUGGGUGGAGGUGAAAGGCCCAGCUCACCACAGAGUACAUGAUUCUUUCCUGUGGCGUUCAGCUGGAAUGGAUAAUUGUUGCCUUGCUAGGCUGCCCCUUGCCUGGUUCUUUGGCUACAAGGAACACAGUUAGCUGGGGAUUUUAUUUUUUUUUGUCUGUACCUAUUGUGUUUCUGAGAUACUGGCUUCUGCAGCUCCAAGAUUAGAAUAUAGGAGGCAAGAAGAAAGCUAAGAAACUAAUCAUUGUGUUAUUCUCAAAGUCUCUAAGCCAGUCUACCCUCUUUUCUCCACCUUUUCAAGUCUUCUUAUGUUUGCUUUUUAUACAAUGUCCAGGGCUUUUAGUUUAGUGAGAAGAAUGUAGAAAAGUACAUCCACUCUAUUUUCCCAGAAAUUGAACCAUCCAAUUAAUUUGUAAUUUCAGGUUUUAUAUUUUCUAGUUCUAAAAUGCCCAGUUUGUUCCCUUUUUAAAAUUCAAUUUAAAAUUUAUCUUUUUGUCCAUUUUUCAUGUAUUCCUCUAAGAUAUUUGGUAGCUCUUUCAAUAGCUUGUCUACUAAUUCCAACAUCUGAAUAUAAUUCUAUGACUGCUUUUUCUGUUAUUAGUAUUUACUUUGUCUUGCAUCUUUGAAUAUCUAAUUAUUUAUUUUUAACUAGAUAUAGUAUUUAAAAGAUCCUUAUGAAGUAAAGUAAAUAAACAUUGCUCCCCAGAUAGGAACUAAGCAACUCGGCAACUGGUUUGAGAAAAUGACCACUUUAGGUCCAAACAGUUGAACUCAGAUGGGUCUUGGUUGCAGCUUUAGUUAGCUUCAACUUACCUCCUGUUUCAAAUAUUUUCAGGGUAAGAUCCAUUCUGCAUGCAUUGCAAUCUCUUCCCUCUUGCAAGAUCUAAGAACUGUGAUACUACAGAAGGCUAUUAUUGCUUUCCAGCCCAGACUCUUAUCUUCCAUGCUGCCAUAGCCAAAUACCCAACAAAAGUCCAAUGGGAAAAAGAUCGGCAAGGAGAGAUAAUUAGCUUUGUGUUUGGGAAUCCAUAGCCCUAAUAUGUCAGCCAGCGAGCCCACCAUGUCAUUAAAUCCUCUUGUUUCUCAUUAACCAAGAAAAGUGGCUCUUCCCAUGGCAGUCUGAUUUUCAGCCUGCCCAAACCUAAACUAGGCAGGCCAUGUGGAGGAAAGUGG
rnacentral:lncRNA from 1 species